rnacentral:misc_RNA from 1 species
GGAAGUGAAAGUCGUAACAAGGUUUCCGUAGGUGAACCUGCGGAAGGAUCAUUAAAGUUAUAGUCCCCCGGCCCUCUGGGCUGGGGUCUUCUAUACCACCCUUUGUUUAUUACACCUUUGUUGCUUUGGCAGGCCUGCCCUCGGGCUGCUGGCUCCGGCCGGCUCGCGUCUGCCAGAGGACCUAAACUCUGUUUGUAUAUGAAGUCUGAGUACUAUAUAAUAGUUAAAACUUUCAACAACGGAUCUCUUGGUUCUG